AAUUUGGAAAAGGAAAGCAUGAGAAGCACACUACAGAGACUGAUCUAGAGAAGUUAUCACUGUGCUGGGUGGGAGUCAUUCAUCUGUCUGCUCUGGGAGUUACAGAUUCACAUGAAGUCCCAGGAUAGCUUCUGUCGGCUUUGGUGGCCUGUUGCAGCAGCCAGCAGCAGGAAACUUGAGGAGCUAUCAUCUCAGGAAUGAACGGGGCCACAUCAAUAAGGAGACCUGUAAUGAUGUGGCUCUAAAUGUCAGCUUUAAAAGCCUGGGAAUUGAUAGAGGAAGAGAGAAGAAAGGGUGUCCCAGUUUUCCACAUGCCGAAUGAUUCAGCAAAAUAAUGUGAGCAAGUCAAGACUCUGGAAAAUAUUUUUAGAUGCCAAACAAAAACCUGGAGGUAAAUCUCUGCUACACUGUCAGUUAGGUUCUUAGCAUCCAGUUUGAUUUGUUGUACUUUAAAAUGAAUGGAAGAAAUUAUAAGGAGCACAGAUAACUACAAAUAAUUCAAGGUUUGGGAAAAUGAAAUUGAAUAUAAAACUAUGAAAUGUUAUAGUAGCUAUAAAAUCCUAGUUUUUCAGUGUAGAAGAGUAAAGGUUAAAGAAUGACAGAAACUGUCUUGAAAUAGACAAAAGGAUAUAAAUAUCACAAUUAUAUCACUAGAGUAAACUUUAGAUUUCUUUUCCCAACCCAUAUCCUGACUGUCUACCACCAACCACCAUUUGACAGCAGAAGACACUGAGGCCAGGCAGGUGAAGCUGUUUGUUCAAGAACCAGAGUUGUUUCAUGGGAGAUCUAGAGAUUAGAGCCCAAGCAUCCUGACUUGUAGUUCUCUUUCCAUUUCUUAAGAUACAACCAUUAGGUAAUUUUAUGGAUUUUUUUCCCACAAAUAUACCAGGAUCUACGAUUGAUAUGAGCAUUCGCAUCAUUGUAACUGCUUCAGAAAGCUGGAAUAAUAGAACAUUUUAAAGUACUUCUUUUGGAACUAUUUGUAGACCCAAUUUAAAAGCCAGAAAAAGAACCUCACUGCUCUAUAAUUUUUAUUCUGAAAUAUUUGCUUAUGAUCUAUAAUGCAUUACCCAGCUUAAAUAAUAGAUGAAUCCAGCAACUUGUUUCUGAGUGACUUUUUGUCGUUGUUAAAAGUCAAAUCCAUCUUAGAGGACAGAGAUUUUUCCCCAGAAACUCUGAUGAAGGAAGGCUUUGAAAGUAAUUCCAGGAAAGUCUUGAAAUAUUUUGAGAUAUGGCAACAAUGUUGCCAUAAUGUGAAUAUUUUUCUUUUGAAUAUUUCUUUUAGUAAUGCUAUGGUAUUAACAGUUUUUAAAAUAAAUCCUUUUCUUUUACAGCCCAUUCCAUUUGACUUGAGAUAUUAAAAUCUUAUGACAAUCUAUAAGCCAGACCAGUAGAAAUGUGACAACCUCUUUAUAGUCUUUAACUCUGCAACAGCUUUACAAUUAUAGAGAUUAGAGAACCAUUAGAAUUGUGAUACAAGUAAUAUAAGUAUAGGUUUUAACACUGUCAUCUGUCACUGCCAUGUUCCUAACAUAUAUAGAUAAAGUAUAGUUUUAAAAAAGGAAUAUAAAAUACAUUAUUAAUAUGCUUUUUAAAGUAAAUAAAUACAGUUGUGGCCAGAAAUGGGAACAUUGUUUAUGGAUAGCUAAGGUAUAGUAAAGUCAUUGCUUUAUUUUGGAGAAAGACAGAAAAAUACAAGAUAACUCUAGACUUCCUUACAAAAAAAGAUAUAUAUACACACACACAUUAAAAUUCAAAGAUAAACACUAAAAUAAUAGAUAAGUAACUCUUGCUUCUAGAAGUGUCCCCCAUGUGGUAGAGUACUACAGCCUAGCUAAUUGCUUAAAGCUGCAAUUAGGGACGCUGAAGUGGAAACACCCACCACCUUUGAAAUGAGGUUUAAAAAGCUUAAAAUAAUUCUUGCUUAUGGUGAAGGCUUAUGCAAAGUCACUAGGGAAGCUAGAGAGAGCAGACACACUUUGCAGUCAGGAACUGACUCUACACCUAGCUUAGUAACUGGGUCAGCAUGUUGACCAUAACAGCAGAGAUGCUGUAAACCAUGAAUAUAAGGCUUAUAAAUUAAAAUUCCAAAAAGAUGGCAGGAAGAAAGAAAACCAACAAAAUCAACAAUCAGAAAGUAAAUUGUUCCAGAUAAAAUGAGCAUGUAAGAGCAAUCUGAAAAUGAUUUGAAAAUAAACAUGAUUAGGAUACUCAAAGAAAUAAAGAAGGAAAUUUCUGAUAGAGAAAGAAAUUAUGAAACCAGACAAGACAGAAAUGAUACAAAAACAAAAGCAUUUGAAAAAGAACACAUUAGAAAUCUUAAAAAUCAAAAUGUACUCAUUGAUGAAAUUUUUAAAAAAUCAACAGAUGAGAUAUUCUCUAGACUGGACAGAAGGAGAGAGUUUAAUAAAUUGAAAGAUAGUAUUGUACACUUCCACCCAAAUGCAACACAGAAAGAUAAAAGGAUUUUAAAGACACAUGACGGAACAGUUAAGAAUUAAGGAGGGGAGCCUGAGAGGAACCACCAUUCAGUGGGGCUCCCAGUGAAGAAAGAGCUGAGAAUCUUUCAGAACUGAAAAAAGAUGUAAAUCCUCAGAUCACUGGUGCUGACGGAAUAAAUGAAAAUAAAUCCACGUAUUUAUUCUUGAUUCCUAACUUGUUUUUAGGAAACGACUUUGAAGAAAUAGAUCAUGGGGGUUAAAUAGUAGAAGCAAGGAGAUCAGUAGAACACAAUUUUAAUUUUUGGCUUCCCACCAUCCUUUUAAAAUGCAUUCACUGGCUGUAAUGUCACCCUGCCUCUAGAUAAAAUUGGGCUUUUGGCUUAUUCUUAGAUGAAUAGAACUUUAAGGCAUAAAAUCAGAAAAUGCAAUUCAAAUUUAGAAAUCAAAAUGUCCAGAAAUAAUAUAAUAAAUGUGUAAAUGUAUUGAGAGAGAGAGAGAGGGUGCAAAUAGGAGAAUCAACUCUUCAAUAUUUAUUCAAUGCAAAGUUUUCUCCCCUUUUCCAAUUAAUGACUCUAUAAUUCCAGUUUUGCCUCUGAGAAUAAGAGUGCUAUUGGCUUCCUUUCUCUUUUUACUUUGUUUCGAUAUUUUACAUUUUUUAAAUACAAAUUAUAUAUAUUUAAGGUGUACAAUGUGAUGUUUUGACAUACAUAUACUACAUAAACCUACUGAACUGAUUACUACAGUCAAGGUAAUUUACAUAUCCUUGUAAAUCAAGGUAAUUUACAUUUUUUAACAUAGUUACCUUUUUGUGGUGAAACUACUUAAGAUAUACUCUCAGUAAAUUUCAAGUAUACAACACAGUAUUACUAACUAUAGUCACUAUGCUGUACAUUAGAUCUCUAGAAUUUAUUCAUUUUAUAUAACUGAAACUUUGUAGCCUUUGACUGACAUCUUCCCAUUUUUCCCACCCACCCUUAACCCUGGCAACUACCGUUCUCACUCUGUGCUGCUAUGACUAUUUUAGAUUCCACAUAUAUGUGAGGUCAGACAGUAUCUUUCUUUCUGUGCCAGGCUCAUUUCGCUUAGCAUAAUGUAUUUUAGUUUCACCCAUGUUGUAAAUGGCAGAAUUUCCUUCUUUUUUAAGGUUGAAUGAUAUCUUAUUGUAUGUAGUUGUGUAUAUACAUUUCUUCAGCCAUGCAUCCGUUGACAGACAUUUAGCUUAUUUCUAUAAUUUUGCUAUUGUGAAUAAUGCAGCAACGGGUAUUAGGAGCACAGUGUCGUUGAGAUAUUGAUUUUAUUUCCUUCGGAUAUAUAUCCACUGUGGGACUUCUGAAAUAUAUGGUAGUUCUAGGUUUAAGUUUUUGAGGAACCUCCAUAUUGUUUUUUAAAGCGGCUGUGCCAAUUUAUAUUCUCACCAACAAUGUAUGAAAGCUCCCGCUUUUCCACAUCCUCAUCACUUUAUCUUUUGUUUUUUAAAUCAUAACCAUCCUAACAGACAUGAAGUGAUCUCUUAUUAUGGUUUUGAUUUGCAUUUUCCUGAUGAUUAACGAUGUUGAUCACCUUUUCAUGCCCCUAUUGGCCAUCUGUAUGUCUUCUUUGAAAAAAAUGUCUUUUCAAAUCCUUUGUACAUUUUUUUUAAAUCAGGCAACUUACCACUAUUGAGUUGGAAAAAUUCCUUAUAUAUUUUUGAUAUUAUCCUCUUAUCAGAUAUAUGGUUUGCAA